CAGCAUGGUCUCGCAGUAGCGAUGCGCCGCCAGCGUGGAUGUCCGGGGGUUGUCCACGUGCUGCCGCAGGAACUUCUCAUAGCGGGUCUCGCCCGCCGCCCCUGCCAGCGCUGCCAGCACCAGGGUCAUGCACAGCACCCAGCCCGCCAUGGAAACCUGGGGAAGGCAAAUUCAUACUCCUGGGAAGUGCCUGGAUGCACUUUUCCUCACUGCUACCUCCCAUGCUCCCAGCUGCUCCAUUGAUGCAGAGACAAAGCAAAGAGCCAGGAGCCAGCCUGAGUCCAUCAAAACUCCAACUCCUUUCCCUUGACCAUCAUAAUGGAGCCCCAAGGAAAGCACGUCCCCUCCAGAGGGAGAGGCACGCAGUGCCCAGGAGAGGCUCUCAUGAAUGGGUGCUAGUGGUCUCCAUCCUCCUCUUCUGACAUCAGAGAGACUCUGAUGGGGAGUGGCAAAGAGAGAAUGAGCACCUUUCCCAAAAGAGUUGUAACACUUCCAAGACUUGCCACAGUGAAGGUGCAGAGGGUUCUGCCCUGGCUCUGGUGGAAUUUCUACAUUUCUUCUGAAGAAAUCCUCCUCAAAGGUGCACAGUCCCUACAGUGGGAACAGCUCAGGCAUCUGGUCAAAACCUCACAGACAUGGAAAGUUAGCACAGCCCCCUGCCUGCUCCUGGGCAUGGAAGGAGGAUGGGGUCUGUAAUCAUGACCCCUCAGACACACUCUGCUUUCCACUGUCCUGGUGUGGGUGGAAAAGCGAUGAUGUCCACAGGAGCAGGAACAAGCCUGGAUGCUUGGCAGUGGGCUGUCUCUAGCUGGCAUGGUGCAGGUACCUGUGCUGGAUCCCAUCCUACCCGGCAGAGCUCAGGCAUAUCGUGAACAGAGGUUGCUGUGAGACGCAUUGGUGAACCACAGCCUGUGGUCACCUCUUGUCCCAGGGGACUCCCAACUGCCUGGCGCUGUCCUGGGCACCGCUUCUCCAUGUCCCAUCCCUGCCCACGCAGGAGGUGCUGAGCGGAGCCUCCUCCUGCCCUGUGCGGUGGGGAGAGGAGCCAUCGGCCGAGGCAUUUGGGGCAGCCCAGACCACCAGCUUCUGGUUGUCCUCUCGGUGCCCCAAGGCCUGGGAGAGCUGCCGAUUUUAGCAGCUCUCUAAACACAGAGUCUAGUUUAGGAAGGAGACACGGUUUAUUCUGCACGGGAUGCAAGGUGGAGGUUUGACAAAUCAAACACACCACGGGGUAAAAAGUUACAUCUUUUACACAGUAAAAUUUACAUGAGCCCGCCUGUCUAAUGCGUAUUCCUCAUCGAUCGGUCCAUAUUUAUUUGUAUGACGUACUCUUACGGGAUGCUUGAAAUACAAAGUUCAUCAAACAACUUCAAUUGCAGAAAAUACCAGACGACGUCACUUACCUUUACAAAAGGUGACAAG
ensembl:lncRNA